GAUGAACGCUGGCGGCGUGCUUAACACAUGCAAGUCGAACGGUGAAGCAGGAGCUUGCUCUUGUGGAUCAGUGGCGAACGGGUGAGUAACACGUGAGCAACCUGCCCCUGACCCUGGGAUAAGCGCUGGAAACGGCGCCUAAUACUGGAUAUGUGAUGUGACCGCAUGGUCUGCAUCUGGAAAGAAUUUCGGUUGGGGAUGGGCUCGCGGCCUAUCGGCUUGUUGGUGAGGUAAUGGCUCACCAAGGGGUCGACGGGCAGCCGGCCUGAGAGGGUGACCGACCACACUGGGACUGAGAAACGGCCCAGACUCCUACGGGAGGCAGCAGUGGGGAAUAUUGCACAAUGGGCGGAAGCCUGAUGCAGCAACGCCGCGUGAGGGAUGACGGCCUUCGGGUUGUAAACCUCUUUUAGCAGGGAAGAAGCGAAAGUGACGGUACCUGCAGAAAAAGCACCGGCUAACUACGUGCCAGCAGCCGCCGUAA
rnacentral:rRNA from 1 species